rnacentral:rRNA from 1 species
AUGCCCAAAAACCUGCGGCUGCGUGACCUCCCUAGCUUCGUGCGCACCACGGACCCCGAUGACAUCAUGUUCAACUUCUUCGUCCACGAGACGGCCGCCAUGUCGCAGGCGUCGGGGGUGGUGAUAAACACCUGGGACGAGCUCGACGCGCCCCUGCUCGAUGCCAUGUCCAAGCUCCUGCCGCCCGUCUAUACAGUGGGGCCACUCCAUCUCACGGUCCACAACAAUGUCUCGAAGGAGAGCCCCCUCGCCGACAUCGGGUCCAACCUGUGGAAGGAGCAGGACGCACCCCUCCGGUGGCUCGACGGCCAACCGCCGAACUCCGUGUUGUAUGUAAAUUUUGGGAGCAUCACGGUGAUGUCCAAGGAGCAUUUGUUGGAGUUCGCGUGGGGGUUGGCCAACACCGGCUACGCCUUCCUGUGGAACGUGCGGCCUGACCUCGUCAAGGGCGACGACAAAGCCGCACUACCGCCAGAAUUUUUUGUAGCGACCGAGGGGCGGAGCAUGCUCUCGACAUGGUGCCCGCAGGAGAAGGUGCUGGAGCAUGAGGCCGUAGGGAUCUUCCUCACGCACUCUGGGUGGAACUCGUCGGUGGAGGGCAUAUGCGGUGGCGUUCCGAUGGUGUGUUGGCCCUUCUUUGCGGAGCAGCAGACCAACUGCCGCUACAAGUGCACAGAGUGGGGCAUCGGGGUGGAGAUUGGGGACGACGUGAGGAGGACCGAGGUGGAGGCGAUGAUACGGGAGGCCAUGGAGGGGGCGAAGGGGCGAGAGAUGCGGCGGCGUGUGCAAGAGCUCCGGCAGAGCGCCCUGGCCUCCGCACGGUGUGACGGAAGGUCCAUGCGCAAUGUUGAUAGGCUCAUCCACGAGGUGCUGCUGGCUUGA